rnacentral:lncRNA from 1 species
CUUACCUAACAAGCUUUCAAUGCUCUGCUGAUUCAGGCAGUGUGUCAGAAAGGCGGUCAGGAAAUUUACUCUUCUCGAAAAGGGCGGACGGGGAUUCGAUCAAGUUUAAGAUCAUUUUCCAGAAAUCUUAAGCGCCAUGCUGGGAUUCGAUCAAGUUUUUCCAGGAAUCUUAAGCGUCAUGCUGGGAUUCGAUCAAGUUUUUCCAGGAAUCUUAAGCGCCGCGCUGGAUCAUGAGCUAUCAAGUAAGCUUAAAUGUUUCUUUCUUUAUUCCUAGCAUCUACCUCGAUGAAUAUUUAUAUGGCAGGGAUCUCGCAUUGCUAGCAGCGGAGCAACCAAAAGAAUGGCUUGUAGAGAUCCAGGAAAGAAUGGCAAAAAAAAGAGAAAGAAGAGAUAUGGGCGCUCUUAACUCGUCACCAGGAC